UACGUAGGGGGCGAGCGUUGUCCGGAUUUACUGGGCGUAAAGGGCGCGUAGGCGGCCUGCUAAGUCGAACGUGAAAUCCCUGGGCUCAACCCAGGAACUGCGUCCGAUACUGGUUGGCUUGAAUCCGGGAGAGGGAUGUGGAAUUCCAGGUGUAGCGGUGAAAUGCGUAGAUAUCUGGAGGAACACCGGUGGCGAAGGCGACAUCCUGGACCGGUAUUGACGCUGAGGCGCGAAAGCCAGGGGAGCAAACGGGG
rnacentral:rRNA from 1 species